rnacentral:lncRNA from 1 species
GAUCCCUUAGUUUCUCCUGUGUCACCUUCUCCUGUUCAAAUGAUGAAGCGUUCUGUCAGCCACCCUGGUUCUUGCAGUUCAGAGAGGAGUAGCCACUCUAUAAAAGAACCAGUAUCUACACUUCACCGACUCUCCCAGCGACGCCGAAGAACCUACUCAGAUACAGAUUCUUGUAGUGAUAUUCCUCUUGAAGACCCAGAUAAUGUGGGUGGAGAAAUGAAGGAAAGAAACCGGGAAGGGGAAGGGAGAAAGAAACUUUCUUGGGCCAAUCAAGCAAGACCUGGAAGAGAAGAGGAGGAGAGGAGGAGGGUUAAAGAGGUUGAGUAUGUGAAAAAAGUUAUCUGAGGCAGGACCUGUUCACUGUUCAAAAAAUACACUUAAUGGAGAUUUGGCAUCAGCAACCAUUCCUGAAGAAAGCAGACUUAUGGCCAAAAAACAAUCUGAAUCAGAAGAUACUCUUCCAUCCUUCUCUUCCUGAAGAAACUGAAGUGUCCAACUUCCUCUAAGUAUUGCUAUGCAAAAGCUGCUGUAAUUAAACUAUUGUUAUAGGGA